rnacentral:rRNA from 1 species
ACCGAUAACGAACGAGACCUUAACCUGCUAAGUAGCCAGGCCGGCUUUCGCUGGUCGCCGGCUUCUUAGAGGGACUGUCAGCGUCUAGCUGACGGAAGUUUGAGGUAAUAACAGGUCUGUGAUGCCCUUAGAUGUUCUGGGCCGCACGCGCGCUACACUGACAGAGCCAGCGAGCUUUUCACCUUGGCCGGAAGGUCUGGGUAAUCUUGUGAAACUCUGUCGUGCUGGGGAUAGGGCAUUGCAAUC